UACGUAGGGGGCUAGCGUUGUCCGGAAUCAUUGGGCGUAAAGCGCGUGUAGGCGGUUCGGUAAGUCCGCUGUGAAAGUCGGGGGCUCAACCCUCGAAUGCCGGCGGAUACUGUCGGACUAGAGUACGGAAGAGGCGAGUGGAAUUCCUGGUGUAGCGGUGAAAUGCGCAGAUAUCAGGAGGAACACCAAUUGCGAAGGCAGCUCGCUGGGACGUUACUGACGCUGAGACGCGAAAGCGUGGGGAGCAAACAGG
rnacentral:rRNA from 1 species